rnacentral:rRNA from 1 species
UACGGGGGGUGCAAACGUUGCUCGGAAUUAUUGGGCGUAAAGCGCACGUAGGCGGUCUUGUAAGUCGGGUGUGAAAGCCCGGGGCUUAACCCCGGAAGUGCACUCGAAACUGCAAGGCUUGAGUACGGAAGAGGGUCUCGGAAUUCCCGGUGUAGAGGUGAAAUUCGUAGAUAUCGGGAGGAACACCCAGGGGGAAACCAGUCGACUGGGCAUCUACUGACGCUGAGGUGCGAGAGCGUGGGGAGCGAACCGG